UCUCGUGCGUCAGCAGAAAAGCCGACCGCUGGCCGAUGCCUUCGAGGCUUGGCUACGCGCCAAGCUGGCUCUCAUCAGCCAGAAGAUCAAGCUCGCCGCCGCCAUCCGCUACGCUCUCUCGCGCUGGCAGGGGCUGACGCGCUUCAUCGAUGACGGUCGCAUCGAGCUCGACAACAAUACGGUCGAACGAUCGAUCCGCGGCAUCAAGCUCAGUCGCAAGAACGCGCUGUUUGCCGGAUCCGACGGUGGUGCCGAACACUGGGCGGUCGUCGCGUCCCUGGUCGAGACCUGCAAGCUCAACGACGUCGAUCCGCUUGCCUAUCUCACCGACGUCCUGACCAGGAUCGUCAGUGGUCAUCCGAACCGCGACAUCGACCAGCUAUUGCCUUGGGCCUACCGCACUCAGUUCCUCAAAGCCGUGGCCUGAUAACGACGCUUACGAUUUUUCGAGGUUAAGCUUCCACGGCCCUAUUAGAAGAUUGCUCUGCGUGAGCCCGACUUGUGAUGGCGCUGUGGCGAGUGCAGCCGAUAGCAGCCCCAGAACAAGUAUGGUGCGUCGAUUCAUGCUGUCCUCCUUAGGUGAUUAUGGGUUUCCUCUGAUUGCCCUGCACAAUGUGCCGGGGCCCGUACAGCGAAAGUGCCACCGUUAAGGCAAGUCUAAUCUAGACCAGGUUGAGUUAACCUAGAUCAACACGGGAAAAUUGUAGCGCCUUGGCAGCUUGAUAGCGACCGGCUUUCCCGGGGGGAAUUGAUGCGUUGCGGGAUGAGCGAAGGUNGGUUUACUCACUAGUGGCGCAGCUAACGCUUUAAGCAUUCCGCCUGGGGAGUACGGUCGCAAGAUUAAAACUCAAAGGAAUUGACGGGGGCCCGCACAAGCGGUGGAGCAUGUGGUUUAAUUCGACGCAACGCGCAGAACCUUACCAGCCCUUGACAUGUCCAGGACCGGUCGCAGAGAUGUGACCUUCUCUUCGGAGCCUGGAACACAGGUGCUGCAUGGCUGUCGUCAGCUCGUGUCGUGAGAUGUUGGGUUAAGUCCCGCAACGAGCGCAACCCCCCGUCCUUAGUUGCUACCAUUUAGUUGAGCACUCUAAGGAGACUGCCGGUGAUAAGCCGCGAGGAAGGUGGGGAUGACGUCAAGUCUCAUGGCCCUUACGGGCUGGGCUACACACGUGCUACAAUGGCGGUGACAAUGGGACGCUAAGGGGCAACCCUUCGCAAAUCUCAAAAAGCCGUCUCAGUUCGGAUUGGGCUCUGCAACUCGAGCCCAUGAAGUUGGAAUCGCUAGUAAUCGUGGAUCAGCACGCCACGGUGAAUACGUUCCCGGGCCUUGUACACACCGCCCGUCACACCAUGGGAGUUGGUUUUACCUGAAGACGGUGCGCUAACCCGCAAGGGAGGCAGCCGGCCACGGUAGGGUCAGCGACUGGGGUGAAGUCGUAACAAGGUAGCCGUAGGGGAACCUGCGGCUGGAUCACCUCC
rnacentral:rRNA from 1 species